rnacentral:miRNA from 1 species
UUGCUGGGGUAGUCUUUAGG